rnacentral:rRNA from 1 species
CAGCAGCGCGGUAAUACGUAGGGGGCGAGCGUUACCCGGAUUCACUGGGCGUAAAGCGGGUGUAGGCGGCUCGGUAAGUCGGGUGUGAAAUCCCACAGCUCAACUGUGGAAUUGCGCCCGAAACUGCUGAGCUUGGGGCCGGUAGAGGGAGACGGAACUGCCGGUGUAGGGGUGAAAUCCGUAGAUAUCGGCAGGAACGCCGGUGGGGAAGCCGGUCUCCUGGGCCGCGCCCGACGCUGAGACCCGAAAGCUAGGGGAGCAAACCGGAUUAGAUACCCGGGUAGUCCUAGCCGUAAACGAUGCCCACUAGGUGUGGGGGAUUAAUUCCUCCGUGCUGUAGCUAACGCGUUAAGUGGGCCGCCUGGGGAGUACGCCCGCAAGGGUGAAACUUAAAGGAAUUGGCGGG